GUGUAUGGCCAUACCACCCUGAACGCGCCCAAUCUCGUCUGAUCUUGGAAGCUAAGCAGGGUUGGGCCUGGUUAGUACUUGGAUGGGAGACUUCCUGGGAAUACUGGGUGCUGUAGGCU
rnacentral:rRNA from 1 species